rnacentral:rRNA from 1 species
CAGUCGCCGCGGGAAUACGUAGGUGGCAAGCGUUGUCCGGAAUUAUUGGGCGUAAAGGGCUCGCAGGCGGUUUCUUAAGUCUGAUGUGAAAGCCCCCGGCUCAACUGGGGAGGGUCAUUGGAAACUGGGAAACUUGAGUGCAGAAGAGGAGAGUGGAAUUCCACGUGUAGCGGUGAAAUGCGUAGAGAUGUGGAGGAACACCAGUGGCGAAGGCGACUCUCUGGUCUGUAACUGACGCUGAGGAGCGAAAGCGUGGGGAGCGAACAGGAUUAGAGACCCCAGUAGUCCCUGUCUCUUAUAC